UCGCCAGAUUGAUUAAAGGAUUCACACAUGUACAUCUCGUAAAGCAUUUAGAUUGGAGACAUCCAAUACAAGUUAGAUUGUAAUCACGGUUGAUGAAGACUUACAUUCUUAUACUAGCAAAGCCUGCUUCCAAAUAAAAUCAGGAAAAAAAAUGAGAAAUAUUUGUAAUUUCAACAAAAAGAUCCAACAUCUCAGUGUAUUAAUCACGCAUUUUAG
rnacentral:lncRNA from 1 species